GCAUAAUAAUUAGUUUUUUAAUUGAAAAAUAGAAUGAAUGGUUUCAUCAAAGCCUCUAUUAACCCUCGCUACGCUAACUUUUAACUUAUGUGAAAAUACAUAAAUUAUUUAACUGGACAAAAAGACCCUAUGAAGCUAAAAAUUAACUUAACACGAUAGUAAUUUAUAAAUUUAUUUUUUGGGGUAAAAAGAAAAGAAUUUAUUUCCACAGCCCUGUUAUCGAUCCCUCAGGAUAAUAAGAAAAAGCUCCCCUAGGGAUAACAGCGUUAUAGUAGUUAGAGCCCUUAUCAAAACUACUG
rnacentral:rRNA from 1 species